UACGAAGGGGGGCUAGCGUUGCUCGGAAUCACUGGGCGUAAAGAGCUCGUAGGCGGUUUGUCGCGUCUGCUGUGAAAACUCGGGGCUUAACUCCGGGCCUGCAGUGGGUACGGGCAGACUAGAGUGCGGUAGGGGAGACUGGAAUUCCUGGUGUAGCGGUGAAAUGCGCAGAUAUCAGGAGGAACACCGGUGGCGAAGGCGGGUCUCUGGGCCGUAACUGACGCUGAGGAGCGAAAGCGUGGGGAGCGAACAGG
rnacentral:rRNA from 1 species